AACGUAGGGGGCCAGCGUUGCUCGGAAUUACUGGGCGUAAAGGGUCCGUAGGCGGUGUAGCAAGUCGGAAGUGAAAUCUUUGGGCUUAACCCAGAGUCUGCUCCCGAAACUGCUAUGCUAGAGUGCGAGAGAGGCGAGUGGAAUUGCGGGUGUAGCGGUGAAAUGCGUAGAUAUCCGCAGGAACAUCCGAGGCGAAAGCGGCUCGCUGGAUCGCAACUGACGCUGAGGGACGAAAGCUAGGGGAGCAAACAGG
rnacentral:rRNA from 1 species